CAGAGGUGGUGUUAAAGAAAACAAAGAUGAACUAAACUAAGUUUACCGGGAGGAAGCCUCUGUUGGAGGAAGACCCAUUUUGAAGACUGAAGAAGAGAUAUUCAUCAACUGAAUCUGUGAUAAAAUG